UACGUAGGGCGCAAGCGUUAUCCGGAAUUAUUGGGCGUAAAGAGCUCGUAGGCGGUUUGUCGCGUCUGCCGUGAAAGUCCGGGGCUCAACUCCGGAUCUGCGGUGGGUACGGGCAGACUAGAGUGAUGUAGGGGAGACUGGAAUUCCUGGUGUAGCGGUGAAAUGCGCAGAUAUCAGGAGGAACACCGAUGGCGAAGGCAGGUCUCUGGGCCACUACUGACGCUGAGAAGCGAAAGUGUGGGGAGCGAACAGG
rnacentral:rRNA from 1 species